rnacentral:rRNA from 1 species
UACGAAGGGGGCUAGCGUUGUUCGGAUUUACUGGGCGUAAAGCGCGUGUAGGCGGAUCGGUAAGUCGGGGGUGAAAGCCCAGAGCUCAACUCUGGAAUUGCCUUCGAUACUGGAGGUCUGGAGCAGACGAGAGGCGAGUGGAAUUCCGAGUGUAGAGGUGAAAUUCGUAGAUAUUCGGAAGAACACCAGUGGCGAAGGCGGCUCACUGGCGCAUUUCUGACGCUGAGGUGCGAAAGCGUGGGGAGCAAACAGG